rnacentral:rRNA from 1 species
GAUGAACGCUGGCGGCGUGCCUAAUACAUGCAAGUCGAGCGAACGGACGAGAAGCUUGCUUCUCUGAUGUUAGCGGCGGACGGGUGAGUAACACGUGGAUAACCUACCUAUAAGACUGGGAUAACUUCGGGAAACCGGAGCUAAUACCGGAUGAUAUUUUGAACCGCAUGGUUCAAAAGUGAAAGACGGUCUUGCUGUCACUUAUAGAUGGAUCCGCGCUGCAUUAGCUAGUUGGUAAGGUAACGGCUUACCAAGGCAACGAUGCAUAGCCGACCUGAGAGGGUGAUCGGCCACACUGGAACUGAGACACGGUCCAGACUCCUACGGGAGGCAGCAGUAGGGAAUCUUCCGCAAUGGGCGAAAGCCUGACGGAGCAACGCCGCGUGAGUGAUGAAGGUCUUCGGAUCGCAAAACUCUGUUAUUAGGGAAGAACAUAUGUGUAAGUAACUGUGCACAUCUUGACGGUACCUAAUCAGAAAGCCACGGCUAACUACGUGCCAGCAGCCGCGGUAAUACGUAGGUGGCAAGCGUUAUCCGGAAAUUAUGGGCGUAAGGCGCGCGUAGGCGGUUUUUUAAGUCUGAUGUGAAAGCCCACGGCUCACCCCGUGGAGGGUCAUUGGAAACUGGAAAACUUGAGUGCAGAAGAGGAAAGUGGAAUUCCAUGUGUAGCGGUGAAAUGCGCAGAGAUAUGGAGGAACACCAGUGGCGAAGGCGACUUUCUGGUCUGUAACUGACGCUGAUGUGCGAAAGCGUGGGGAUCAAACAGGAUUAGAUACCCUGGUAGUCCACGCCGUAAACGAUGAGUGCUAAGUGUUAGGGGGUUUCCGCCCCUUAGUGCUGCAGCUAACGCAUUAAGCACUCCGCCUGGGGAGUACGACCGCAAGGUUGAAACUCAAAGGAAUUGACGGGGACCCGCACAAGCGGUGGAGCAUGUGGUUUAAUUCGAAGCAACGCGAAGAACCUUACCAAAUCUUGACAUCCUUUGACAACUCUAGAGAUAGAGCCUUCCCCUUCGGGGGACAAAGUGACAGGUGGUGCAUGGUUGUCGUCAGCUCGUGUCGUGAGAUGUUGGGUUAAGUCCCGCAACGAGCGCAACCCUUAAGCUUAGUUGCCAUCAUUAAGUUGGGCACUCUAAGUUGACUGCCGGUGACAAACCGGAGGAAGGUGGGGAUGACGUCAAAUCAUCAUGCCCCUUAUGAUUUGGGCUACACACGUGCUACAAUGGACAAUACAAAGGGCAGCGAAACCGCGAGGUCAAGCAAAUCCCAUAAAGUUGUUCUCAGUUCGGAUUGUAGUCUGCAACUCGACUACAUGAAGCUGGAAUCGCUAGUAAUCGUAGAUCAGCAUGCUGCGGUGAAUACGUUCCCGGGUCU